rnacentral:rRNA from 1 species
GUUGAACGCUGGCGGCGUGCCUAACACAUGCAAGUCGAGCGAACAGACGAGGAUUUUGCUUGGCUUCCGUUACCGACGGGCGGGUGAUUACCACGUGGCUACCCUACCUAUGAGACUGAGGUCCCUUCGGGAACCCUAAUCUCAUACCGGAUAAUAUGUUGAACGGCAUGGUUCAUUAGACCUCAAGGUUUUUGCUGUCCCUAAUACAUGUUUCCGCGCCGGAUUAGCUAGUUGGUAAGGUAAAGGCUUACCAAGGCGAGGAUGCGUAGCCGAUCUGAGAGGGUGAUCGGUCACACUGGAACUGAGACACGGUCCAGACUCCUACGGGAGGCAGCAGUGGGGAAUAUUGGACAAUGGGCGAAAGCCUGAUCGAGCCAUGCCGCGUGUGUGAAGAAGGUCUUCGGAUUGUAAAACACUUUUAGUAGGGAAGAACAAAUGUGUAAGUAACCAUUCCCGUCUUGACGGUACCAACACAGUAAGCACCGGCUAACUACGUG